UUCACGGAGCGCGUUAAUGAACGGACGUCUGGAUGUAUUAAAUGCAUGCAUGAGUGCCAAAUUUGAGUGCCAUGGUGGAGGGUAUCAUCGGAGAGCUUAAGGUGGACACUGUCCUUCCUUCCUGAGGCCUAAGGGUGGAGUUUAAAGAGAGAAAAGGAUUUUGAAGGCAUCUUCAACGACCAAACGAUCUUCGAUGUAGUUUCAACGACAUUUCUUCACAAGACCUCUCCUCCCUCCAUUCAUCCUCGUUCGGAAAAGGGCGCGUAUAAAUCUACAAGGUAAACGCGGAGCGUCGAAUUUCACCUGGUGGAAAAAAAGAAAACCGUACGAUCUUUCCGAGAGCGAAUACCGGGGAGAAGAAAAAAACGGAAUGCAAAGCUGAGGAAGGGGUUAAAAACGCCCCAGCAGACCAGCAUUAUUAUAUACUUAUUUAAGAUCAGUCUCGAGGGUUCCCAAACGGGACGCUUUUUUUUUUCUCGAUGGCCCGCAUUAUUUUUUUCAUCCAACUCUGCUCAACUACCCCCUUGUAUCUUUCACCCUUCACUCUUCCUACUGUUCUCCCGUUUCCAGUUUUUUCCUCGACCACCGCUUCGUUAUAAUCGGUGUGAAAUGAUAACCGAUCGAGAUACAGCACGGUGUCCCGAUUGUUUUUUGUUGUUGCAGAAACAACGUCUCGCGAACGUAUACGCAAAAAAGUGGUCGAAGGAAGCAGGGUGGUAAAAAGGUAAAAAAUUUACGGUUUUAAAAUCACGCGAGAAAUUAUUAUGCGUCGACGAGCAGAGGGGUGAGCUACCCCUUCACGCAAGAUUCGUUAACUUUUUACCACCGUGGUCUUAUCGCG